rnacentral:misc_RNA from 1 species
UCUUCCUUGAGAAGCCCAUUUAACGAAACAGCCCACGUCCUUUGCUCGUGUCGCCACUCUCUCUCGCUUCUCUCUGCGUCUGUUGUGUCACUGGAAUAUGGAUCGAUCUCAAUUUCUGCUCUUAGGUUUACCAAUCUUUCUAUUUUUCACCGACGUUGUUAAUCUAUUUACGGUACCACCACCGCCAAAAUCCGCUCAAAAUGAUCUUAGCAGCUUCCGAUCCAAGCCCAAUUCAGUUCUCCACCAACAGCCCCUUCAAUUUCCAAUUCAGAAAUCAUCGUCAUCCGCUAUCGGAGGAGUAGGCGGCGGCGUUGGUAAUAUUGGCUUUGGCAGCACCAUUAAUAUCGACUUCUGUGCUUCUUGUUCUUAUAGAGGAACUGCUGUAACUAUGCAAAACAUGCUGGAAACACAAUUUCCUGGUAUUAAUGUAAUUUUGGCGAACUAUCCUCCCUCAUUUCCAAAGCGCUUACUGAGCAAAGUUGUUCCAGUUUUUCAAUUUGGAAUCAUUGGAGUAAUAAUGGCUGGUGAACAAAUUUUUCCAAGGUUAGGAUUUGCAGUUCCACCUCCUUGGUACUAUUCUUUACGUGCAAACAGAUUUGGAAGUAUUGCUAGCACUUGGCUUUUUGGAAACUUCAUUCAAUCCUUCCUCCAGAGUUCUGGUGCUUUUGAAGUAUAUUGCAAUGGUGAAUUGGUUUUCUCCAAACUGACAGAAAACAGGUUCCCUGGUGAAAUCGAGUUGAGGGAUCUUGUUGGCAAAAAACUUGCUCAUACAAGAAUUGUUCAUGGCGAUGUUGGUGUCUUGUCUUAGUGCUCUGACAAGUCGACGUGAGUUAUCUCUGACAAGUCGAUGUGAGUUAUACUUCUCAUAUGCAUGAUGCAGGAAGCAGAUACACUAAUGAUGGAGAAGAUAUGGCCUCUUUUUCUGUUCCUUACUUCUGCAGUUCUGCUUCCAUUCAUUCUCAGGGCAGGCAUUAAUUGUGAUAGGGACUUAACAGUUAUCCGGAAGACUCUUUUUUUUUGUUUUUUUUUAAUGAAAUUGGAAAUAAUUUUCAAUUUUAUUUAUAAUUUUGGGAUAUUAUUUGUGAUACAUUGUCUGGAUUACCAGAUUCAUUAAUAGUGCAAUCAAUAAAUGAAAUCUUCCAUUUCGU